AACGAACGCUGGCGGCGUGCCUAACACAUGCAAGUCGUGCGAGAAAGUUCCUUCGGGAGCGAGUAAAGCGGCGCACGGGUGAGUAACACGUAGGUAACCUGCCCCCCAGUCUGGAACAACUAGAGGAAACUCUAGCUAAUGCCGGAUGAGACCACGAUCCCUUCGGGGGUUGCGGCCAAAGAUGGCCUCUACUUGUAAGCUAUCGCUGAGGGAUGGGCCUGCGGGCCAUUAGCUUGUUGGUGAGGUAACGGCUCACCAAGGCUGUGAUGGCUAGCUGGUCUGAGAGGAUGACCAGCCACACUGGGACUGAGACACGGCCCAGACUCCUACGGGAGCAGCAGUGGGAAUAUUGGACAAUGGGCGAAAGCCUGAUCCAGCAAUGCGCGUGAGUGAUGAAGGCCUUA
rnacentral:rRNA from 1 species